CCGUAGGUGAACCUGCGGAGGGAUCAUUACCGAGUGAGGGUCCUCGCGGCCCGACCUCCCACCCUUUGUUUUCCAACCUCGUUGCCUCGGGGGCGGCCCUGCCCCCCGGCGGGCCCCCCGGUGGACCAUCAAACUCUGCAUCUUUUCGUCUGAGUAUAAUUUUGAAUUAAAUCAAAACUUUCAACAACGGAUCUCUUGGUUCUGGCAUCGAUGAAGAACGCAGCGAAAUGCGAUAAGUAAUGUGAAUUGCAGAAUUCAGUGAAUCAUCGAAUCUUUGAACGCAUAUUGCGCCCCUUGGUAUUCCUUAGGGCACACCUGUUCGAGCGUCAUUACACCAAUCCAGCCCCGCUGGGUGUUGGGCGAUGCGCCCCCCCGCACGCCUCAAAUUCACCGGCCGAGCCGUCUCGCCUCUCAGCGUCGUGGAAACUAUUCGCUCUGGGGUUCGAUGGCCUCCGCGCCGUCAAAACCUCUAAUCACUAAGGUUGACCUCGGAUCAGGUGGGGAUACCCGCUGAACUUAAGCAUAUCAAUAAGCGGAGGA
rnacentral:rRNA from 1 species